rnacentral:rRNA from 1 species
ACGGGAGGCAGCAGUGGGGAAUAUUGCACAAUGGGGGAAACCCUGAUGCAGCGACGCCGCGUGAAGGAAGAAGUAUUUCGGUAUGUAAACUUCUAUCAGCAGGGAAGAAAAUGACGGUACCUGACUAAGAAGCCCCGGCUAACUACGUGCCAGCAGCCGCGGUAAUACGUAGGGGGCAAGCGUUAUCCGGAUUUACUGGGUGUAAAGGGAGCGUAGGCGGUCUGACAAGUCAGAAGUGAAAGCCCGGGGCUCAACCUCGGGACUGCUUUUGAAACUGCCGGACUAGAUUGCAGGAGAGGUAAGUGGAAUUCCUAGUGUAGCGGUGAAAUGCGUAGAUAUUAGGAGGAACACCAGUGGCGAAGGCGGCUUACUGGACUGUAAAUGACGCUGAGGCUCGAAAGCGUGGGGAGCAAACAGGAUUAGAUACCCUGGUA